UGGGGGCCUUUCGGGAGGCAGCAGUGGGGAAUUUUGGACAAUGGGGGCAACCCUGAUCCAGCAAUGCCGCGUGUGUGAAGAAGGCCUUCGGGUUGUAAAGCACUUUUGUCCGGGAAGAAAUCCCUUGAGCUAAUAUCUCGGGGGGAUGACGGUACUGGAAGAAUAAGCACCGGCUAACUACGUGCCAGCAGCCGCGGUAAUACGUAGGGUGCGAGCGUUAAUCGGAAUUACUGGGCGUAAAGCGUGCGCAGGCGGUUGUGCAAGACAGAUGUGAAAUCCCCGGGCUCAACCUGGGAACUGCAUUUGUGACUGCACGGCUAGAGUGUGUCAGAGGGGGGUAGAAUUCCACGUGUAGCAGUGAAAUGCGUAGAUAUGUGGAGGAACACCGAUGGCGAAGGCAGCCCCCUGGGAUAACACUGACGCUCAUGCACGAAAGCGUGGGGAGCAAACAGGAUUAGAUACCCUGGUAGUCCACGCCCUAAACGAUGUCAACUAGUUGUCGGGUCUUAAUUGACUUGGUAACGCAGCUAACGCGUGAAGUGACUGCCUGGAGU
rnacentral:rRNA from 1 species